rnacentral:lncRNA from 1 species
UACAUCUUGUCAAACACUACAUUUUGUCAAGCAUUACAAUUUGUCGACCGACUACAACAACUUCUCCACCACCCUCAAGUAUAGCCACUAUCUCCAAUCCUUUAACAAUUCAGCAGUAACCUUCCUCCAUUCACCUCCAUUCUACACUAAGAAAUGCGCCGAAGAGUAAAGAGAAACUCCAUCCAGUGUCCUGCCAACUUCAAGGUAAGCUUUGGCUUAAACUUCUCCAUCUUCUUCCAUGAUUUUACCUGCAUUCAUUAAGCAACAACAAAUACUACCAUUUUCAGUUUCAAGCAUUUGUUACUCCAGUUAACAAUGGAAGAAGUAAAAUAAACCAUCAGUUCAUUUCCCUGCCAAAACUUCAAGAAGUUCCAGUUCAUUUAACACCACAGCAGCCAACCAACAUCAAUUACAAGGUAUAUACUAAGCUCAACUUAUUCGAUCCAUUUCGCAUCAACCAUCAAGCAUGAUCAGUUUCGAAUUACAGAGGGAUAUAGUAAAUCACAUAUGCAUAAUCAUGUUCCACCAAUAUAUCUGACAGUCCACGUUAUGUAUAGAAAGACUUGUGCUUUUCAUCCUACUGCACUCUAGAACAACAAAAGCUUGAGAACCUCUGCCUUUAACAAAAUAGAAACUAGAACAGAAGGAUUUAGGACUUAGCUUUAAGAUAUAGUGCCGGCUGCCUGUUCGGACGAGCCCAAAGCAACGACGAACCUCUGCUGCCGUGAUGGAGUUCGAAAACGAAGACGACGAACUCUCGUUGUCUCCUCUGUUUCAGUGUAUAACAGCAACAACGGCAGAUGAGACCGGUGGCCGACGACGUCUGACUCAUCGGAAAAGGAGUGGCCGACUACCCUGCUUUGAAUCGGGAAGAUGGACGGCGAUUGUAAAUCGCCGGAUUUACAGACGCAACGGCGUCGAACCAGGGCGGUGACCCGGGAUUUCAGAAGCGGCGCCUACGGUCGCCUCGACCUCGCUGGAUUCAAGAGCAGCGGCGAACCCGGGGCCGCAGAUUCAGUUUUAAAAGAGGGGGGCACGAACGGCGUUGUCCUCGCCAAUUUUUAGGGGAACCUCUGAGUCGCGGCGGCACUGGAGAACUCAGCGGUGGCCGCACCGGGAGCUCACGGUAGAGACGAAGAUAGAAACGGCCACGACCGGCGCCGAUUGUUUCGCCGGAUUCCAGAUGGAGGUGCGACAGCGGCGAUUUGAGAAAGGAAGGAAUUAGGGCUCGGUUUCUAAUUUCGAUUGGGCAUGCUUGAGUCUGAUUUGAGUAGAGAGAAGGCAGAGAUGGACGUGAGGGAGGAGGUUCGACCGCCGUUCGCCGGGAAUUGCAGCGGCGACAGCGGCGACAGCGGCGAUUGCGAUGUCAGGAAGGAACUAGGGCACGCCCUCUCACCUCGGAUGAAC